rnacentral:rRNA from 1 species
AUGGAGGAGAUGGCGCCUCGUCGGAAUAAUUUGCCUUUGCUCUUCCUCCAUCUCGGCGUCAUUCCAACCAGUGGCGACGAGGGGCAGGUGGCCCGAUCGUCUCGUCGAUCUUUGGAUCCAGCGAGGUUCGUGUCUGGUGGUCGGCCGUCGGCGCUCUCACGGGUGGCGUUCGUGUCAGCUGCUAUAGUUGUGUUUACUGUCUUACAGUUGGGUGCGUGGACGACGUCAGGCGGCGACCUUCCUCUUCUUCGACUACUUCGGAUGAAGUUGACGACGUCGAGAUCUGGUGACCACCGGGAAGAUCCCUGGCCUACAUGCCACAAAGACUCGGUUUCGUAG